UACGUAGGGACCAAGCGUUGUUCGGAUUUACUGGGCGUAAAGGGCGCGUAGGCGGCGUGACAAGUCACUUGUGAAAUCUCUGAGCUUAACUCAGAACGGCCAAGUGAAACUGUUGUGCUAGAGUGCAGAAGGGGCAAUCGGAAUUCUUGGUGUAGCGGUGAAAUGCGUAGAUAUCAAGAGGAACACCUGAGGUGAAGACGGGUUGCUGGGCUGACACUGACGCUGAGGCGCGAAAGCUAGGGGGAGCAAACGGGG
rnacentral:rRNA from 1 species